UGCGCUAAUAUCGCAUUUAUUUGACGAAGGCUCCAAAGGAAGCCACGGCUAACUCUGUGCCAGCAGCCGCGGUAAUACAGAGGUGGCAAGCGUUGUUCGGAAUUAUUGGGCGUAAAGAGCACGUAGGUGGAUUUGUAAGUCAGAUGUGAAAGCCUUCUGUUCAACGGAAGAAUUGCAUCUGAAACUACAAACCUUGAGUGUAGGAGGGGAGAGUGGAAC
rnacentral:rRNA from 1 species